GAUUCACUGUGGCACGGUGGUAGUGCGACUGGCUGCGACGCAGAGAGUUCUGGGUUCGAUUCCCGGUGGGUCA